AGAACGAACGCUGGCGGCAUGCCUAACACAUGCAAGUCGAACGAGACCUUCGGGUCUAGUGGCGCACGGGUGCGUAACGCGUGGGAAUCUGCCCUUGGGGUUCGGAAUAACAGUUGGAAACGACUGCUAAUACCGGAUGAUGCCGUAAGUCCAAAGAUUUAUCGCCCAGGGAUGACGCCCGCGUAGGAUUAGCUAGUUGGUGAGGUAAAGGCUCACCAAGGCGACGAUCCUUAGCUGGUCUGAGAGGAUGAUCAGCCA
rnacentral:rRNA from 1 species